GAGGUGAUCUGGCUCAGUAAGUCGGAACCGGUGUCCCGUGAAGUUAUCGGCGGACGGGUGAGUAACACGUGGGUAACCUGCCUGUAAGACUGGGAUAACUCCGGGAAACCGGAGCUAAUACCGGAUAGUUCCUUGAACCGCAUGGUUCAAGGAUGAAAGACGGUUUCGGCUGUCACUUACAGAUGGACCCGCGGCGCAUUAGCUAGUUGGUGAGGUAACGGCUCACCAAGGCGACGAUGCGUAGCCGACCUGAGAGGGUGAUCGGCCACACUGGGACUGAGACACGGCCCAGACUCCUACGGGAGGCAGCAGUAGGGAAUCUUCCGCAAUGGACGAAAGUCUGACGGAGCAACGCCGCGUGAGUGAUGAAGGUUUUCGGAUCGUAAAGCUCUGUUGUUAGGGAAGAACAAGUGCAAGAGUAACUGCUUGCACCUUGACGGUACCUAACCAGAAAGCCACGGCUAACUACGUGCCAGCAGCCGCGGUAAUACGUAGGUGGCAAGCGUUGUCCGGAAUUAUUGGGCGUAAAGGGCUCGCAGGCGGUUUCUUAAGUCUGAUGUGAAAGCCCCCGGCUCAACCGGGGAGGGUCAUUGGAAACUGGGAAACUUGAGUGCAGAAGAGGAGAGUGGAAUUCCACGUGUAGCGGUGAAAUGCGUAGAGAUGUGGAGGAACACCAGUGGCGAAGGCGACUCUCUGGUCUGUAACUGACGCUGAGGAGCGAAAGCGUGGGGAGCGAACAGGAUUAGAUACCCUGGUAGUCCACGCCGUAAACGAUGAGUGCUAAGUGUUAGGGGGUUUCCGCCCCUUAGUGCUGCAGCUAACGCAUUAAGCACUCCGCCUGGGGAGUACGGUCGCAAGACUGAAACUCAAAGGAAUUGACGGGGGCCCGCACAAGCGGUGGAGCAUGUGGUUUAAUUCGAAGCAACGCGAAGAACCUUACCAGGUCUUGACAUCCUCUGACAACCCUAGAGAUAGGGCUUUCCCUUCGGGGACAGAGUGACAGGUGGUGCAUGGUUGUCGUCAGCUCGUGUCGUGAGAUGUUGGGUUAAGUCCCGCAACGAGCGCAACCCUUGAUCUUAGUUGCCAGCAUUCAGUUGGGCACUCUAAGGUGACUGCCGGUGACAAACCGGAGGAAGGUGGGGAUGACGUCAAAUCAUCAUGCCCCUUAUGACCUGGGCUACACACGUGCUACAAUGGACAGAACAAAGGGCUGCGAGACCGCAAGGUUUAGCCAAUCCCACAAAUCUGUUCUCAGUUCGGAUCGCAGUCUGCAACUCGACUGCGUGAAGCUGGAAUCGCUAGUAAUCGCGGAUCAGCAUGCCGCGGUGAAUACG
rnacentral:rRNA from 1 species